CACUCACUACAAACAAGCUAGUUGUACGAAGAGCAGAAAUGGGAGCCUUGGGAAAGCCAAGGCCUUCUUCGCUCAUCAUUACCAUGUUUUAUUGUUUGACAUUCUGCUUCUUAGCUACUACUAGUGUUCAUGCUACUAUUCCUCUUUUACCUCCCAUAAUCCUACCUCCUAUUCCCAAGCUACCUCCUAUUCCCAUCCUACCUCCUUACAAGUCAUCACCACCUCCGCCACAGCCCAAGUCUUCACCACCUCCGCCUUCACCACCUCCGCCACAGCCCAAGUCUUCACCACCUCCGCCACCUCCGCCUUCACCACCUCCGCCACAGCCUAAGUCUUCACCACCUCCGCCACCUCCGCCUUCACCACCUCCGCCUUCACCACCUCCGCCUUCACCACCUCCGCCACCUCCGCCUUCACCACAGCCUAAGUCUUCACCACCUCCGCCACCGCCCAACUCAUCACCACCUCCGCCACCCUCACCCUCACCUCUACCUCCUUACAAGUCACCACCACCACCAUCUCCAUCACCAUCUCCAUCACAAUCUCUACCAUCUCUAUCACCACCAUCUCCAUCACCAUCUCUAUCACCAUCUCCAUCACCAU
rnacentral:lncRNA from 1 species